CGACACGACCGUACCGCAAACCGACACUGGUGCGCGAGAUGAGUAUUCUAAGGCGCUUGAGAGAACUCAGGAGAAGGAACUCGGCAAAUUGACACCGUAACUUCGGAAGAAGGUGUGCCUUUAGUAGGUGAACCUGUACAAGGGGAGCCCAAUGAGGUUGCAAAAAAUCGGUGGCUGCGACUGUUUAAUAAAAACACAGCACUCUGCAAACACGAAAGUGGACGUAUAGGGUGUGACGCCUGCCCGGUGCUGGAAGAUUAAAUGAUGGGGUGCAAGCUCUUGAUUGAAGUCCCAGUAAACGGCGGCCGUAACAAUAACGGUCCUAAGGUAGCGAAAUUCCUUGUCGGGUAAGUUCCGACCUGCACGAAUGGCGUAACGAUGGCCACACUGUCUCCUCCUGAGACUCAGCGAAGUUGAAAUGUUUGUGAUGAUGCAAUCUCCCCGCGGAAAGACGGAAAGACCCCAUGAACCUUUACUGUAGCUUUGUAUUGGACUUUGAACAGAUCUGUGUAGGAUAGGUGGGAGGCUUUGAAGUGUGGUCGCUAGAUCGCAUGGAGCCAACGUUGAAAUACCACCCUGGUGUGUUUGAGGUUCUAACCUAGGCCCGUAAUCCGGGUCGGGGACAGUGCAUGGUAGGCAGUUUGACUGGGGCGGUCUCCUCCCAAAGCGUAACGGAGGAGUUCGAAGGUACGCUAGGUACGGUCGGACAUCGUGCUAAUAGUGCAAUGGCAUAAGCGUGCUUAACUGCGAGACUGACAAGUCGAGCAGAUGCGAAAGCAGGACAUAGUGAUCCGGUGGUUCUGUAUGGAAGGGCCAUCGCUCAACGGAUAAAAGGUACUCUGGGGAUAACAGGCUGAUACCGCCCAAGAGUUCAUAUCGACGGCGGUGUUUGGCACCUCGAUGUCGGCUCAUCUCAUCCUGGGGCUGUAGCCGGUCCCAAGGGUAUGGCUGUUCGCCAUUUAAAGAGGUACGUGAGCUGGGUUUAAAACGUCGUGAGACAGUUUGGUCCCUAUCUUCCGUGGGCGCUGCAGAUUUGAGGAAGCCUGCUCCUAGUACGAGAGGACCGGAGUGGACACACCUCUGGUGUAUCGGUUGUCACGCCAGUGGCAUUGCCGAGUAGCUAUGUGUGGAAGAGAUAACCGCUGAAAGCAUCUAAGCGGGAAACUCGUUUCAAGAUGAGAUCUGCCGGGGCCUUGAGCCCCCUAAAGAGUCGUUCAAGACCAGGACGUUGAUAGGUCGGGUGUGGAAGCGCAGUAAUGCGUUAAGCUAACCGAUACUAAUUGCUCGUGCGGCUUGACCCU
rnacentral:rRNA from 1 species